rnacentral:rRNA from 1 species
GUCUCAGUUCGGAUUGUAGUCUGCAACUCGACUACAUGAAGCUGGAAUCGCUAGUAAUCGCGGAUCAGAAUGCCGCGGUGAAUACGUUCCCGGGUCUUGUACACACCGCCCGUCACACCAUGGGAGUCGGGAAUGCCCGAAGCCAGUGACCCAAGCGAGAGCAGGGAGCUGUCGAAGGCAGGCCGGAUAACUGGGGUGAAGUCGUAACAAGGUACC